CCUCCAUUGGUCUCAUGGACCUUUAAAAUGGAGUCGCAGCUGCAGCAGCAGCUUCAAGUUCAACAAGCAAAGCAACCUUCUCUUUCACACUCCCCGACCUACAAAGCUCUCUUACAAGCAGGCACUCGUCUCAGACCUCUCCAACAAGUCCAUGCCCACAUCAUCGUCUCUGGUCUCCACCGGAGCCGAGCCCUUAUCACAAAGCUCCUUACUUUGGCCUGCACGGCCGGUUCAAUUGUUUACACUCGUCAACUCUUUUAUUUUGUUUCGGAACCUGACUCUUUCCUCUUUAAUGGCCUCAUCAGAGCCUCCUCUAAGUCUGGCUUCCCUUUUGACGCUAUCCUGUUCUAUCAACGUAUGCGCCUAGCCGGACUUGCCCCAUCUAAUUACACCUUCACUGCCGUUAUCAAAGCGUGUGCAGAUUUAUCUGAUUUGGGAUUCGGUAGAAUCAUACACUCUCAUCUUCUAGUUUCUGGGUUUGGUUCAGAUUCAUUCGUUCAGUCUGCUCUGGUGGCACUAUAUGCAAAAGCUGGUGAUUUGGUUGUUGCACGGAAAGUAUUCAACAAAAUGCCUGCGAGAACUAUCAUUGCAUGGAAUUCAAUGAUUUCGGGUUAUGAGCAAAAUGGUUUUGCUAAGAAAGCGGUUGAAUUGUUUAACGGAAUGUGGGAUUUGAGAGUGAAACCUGACUCAGCAACCUUGGUGAGCUUGUUGUCUGCUUGUUCUCAAUUAGGAGAUCUUAGUUUAGGCCAGUGGGUGCAUAAUUAUAUAAUUGAUAAUGGCUUUGAUGUUAGUGUAACUCUGGGUACUUCUUUGAUCAACAUGUAUGCUAGAUGUGGAAAUGUAGCAAAAGCACGUGAAGUUUUUGAUGGGAUGUUUGAACGUAACGUAGUCGCUUGGACAGCUAUGAUUUCUGGAUAUGGUAUGCAUGGUUAUGGUCAUGAGGCCAUUGAUCUCUUUCAUCAAAUGAGAUCCCAUGGGCCACCACCAAACGAUGUCACGUUUGUAGCAGUCUUAUCUGCAUGCGCCCACUCUGGGUUAGUAAACGAGGGGCGUGAGGUGUUUGCAUGUAUGAGACAUGACUAUGGGUUAAUGCCAAGGAUGGAGCAUCAUGUUUGCAUGGUUGACAUGCUUGGGCGUGCUGGAUUUCUUGACGAUGCAGUUAGGUAUAUUGAGGAAACAAUACAAGGAGAACCGGCUCCUGCAGUGUGGACAGCAAUGCUCGGGUCAUGCAAGUUACACAAGAAUUUCAGUCUUGGAGCACAAGUGGCUGAUCGCCUCCUAGCAUUAGAGCCUGAGAAAUCGUCCCAUUAUGUUUUGCUUUCUAACAUGUAUGCUUUGGCAGGAAGGAUGGAUCAAGUGGAAAUAGUAAGAAGCAGAAUGAUAGAGAAAGGCCUAAAGAAGCAAGUUGGCUAUAGCUUGAUAGAGGUCAAUCAGGUGACCCACAUGUUUUGUAUGGGUGACAAGUCCCACCCACAGACAACUGAAAUCUAUAGGUAUCUGGAGGAGCUGAUGUCAAAGUCUAGGGAGGCAGGUUAUAUACCAGAAUCCAAUUCAGUGAUGCACGAAUUGGAAGAAGAGGAAAGGGAAUUUGCGCUUAGAUGCCACAGUGAGAAGCUUGCAAUAGCAUUUGGUAUCAUGAACACCAGCCAUGGAACAACAAUUAGGAUUGUCAAGAAUCUUCGAAUGUGUGAUGAUUGUCAUUCUGCAACUAAAUUCAUCUCAAUUGUCACCAGCAGAAAGAUUAUUGUUCGAGAUAAGCAUCGAUUCCAUCAUUUCAGAGAUGGUACAUGUUCUUGCCAGGAUUACUGGUGACCCACUUCAUUUGUCAGCCGAACUCAAGAUGUUGACAGGUGUUUGACCACAGGUUGGGUGGGAUCCAGUUGUAAUUACCAAUGGAAUUUGGUUGGAUUCACCGGAUCUGUCAGACCUAGUGGAACAGAUCUCUUAGUUUCUCUUUCUGGGUUAUUGAAAUUGAUCAAUUUCUCUCUGGCUUUCUCUGGUAACCUCCCCCAAUUUCUCUCUUUCUGGCUGCUGGGUCAAUCUAUUAGCGUUGAAUCCCAGCUAAAACAAAUGGAGGAUCUAAUCUAGUUGUUUGAACUAGAUUGGUCUUCUAUUCAUCCUUCCUCUACCUUGAGUUGAGUCCGCUCAGUCCAAGCUCCUUUAAAAUGAAGGUGGAACCUCAAGCCUCCUUCAAGUUCAGAGGUGGUGUACUGGUGUUAUAGGGAUGAGGAUUUUAAAGAAAACUAAAUAGGUGACUAGUGAUUUUCUUUGAAGCCUCAAAUAAAUAAUUGGGGGACCAUCUCCAAAAGAAAAGGAGAAAUACUUGUUUCCUAGAAUUGGUUAUGGAGAUUUCUUGAGAAACCUCCUGUGUCAUUCCAUCAGAAGAAAAUAUGGCAUCACUGCAAAUGGGUUAGAAUGCAAGUUUGACAGUAGAAUCACCCCUAAUUUCCUUGAAAGUUAAUUAUCCUUUAGUUUGUUGAUACAAGAAUUAGAUUGACAGGACCUGUAAUGGGGACUCCUUUUUCCUUAAGAUUCCCUAACCUUGAUACAUUUAUCUUCACAAU